CUUCUCACAGCGCACUGAAGAGGGGCUGGCUGAAUCACCUGCACUCUGUAGCUGCUCAUGAAUGUAGAUGUUGCAAAAAGGAAUUGAAUUUAUAGUUAUGGGCAGCCUUUAGGACUUCAGCAGAAGCUCCGUGGAUUUCACUCCCUACAUUCAGUAGGGAGCAUCUGUUGCAUCUGUUUUAAAAGUAAAGAGUUGCCUGCACAAAGAAUCAUAGAAUCAUUAAGGUUGGAAGGACCACUCUAAGAUCAUCUAGUCCAACCGUUUGCCCAUGCCUGUGACCGCUCUAGACCAUGUCCCUCAGUGCCACAUCUACCCUUUUCUUGAACACCUCCAGAGACGGUGACUCCACCACCUCCCUAAGCAGCCUGUUCCAGUGCAUCACCACUCUUUCUGGGAAGUUUUUCCUAAUAUCCAGCCUGAACCUCGCCUGGCACAACUUGAAGCUAUUACCUCUCAUCCUAUCACUUUUACCUGGGGGAAGAGGCCAACCCUAACUUGCUACAACCUCCUUUCAGGUAAUUAUAGAGUGAUAAGGUCUCCCCUGUGCCUCCUUUUCUCCAGACUGAAUAAUCCCAGUUCCCUUAGAUGCUCCCCAUAAGACUUGUGCUCCAGAACCUUCAUGGCUUUGUUGCCCAUCUCUGGACACUUUCCAGGGCCUCGAUGUCUUUGCUGUAGUGUGGGACCCAAAACCAAACACAGUGCUUGAGAUGUGACCUCUCCAGUGCUGAGUACAGAGGGAAUGCCCACCAAACAUGAGAUAAAAAAAUAAAUAAAUCACAGACUGGGACCCAGCAGCAAGAAGAAGGUCUUGAAAUUGGUGAUGAGAGCAGAGUUUCCUGGAGGUUUCUAUAUAUCAGGCCCACUUCAACGCAGUUCAGGGAAGUGCAAUGCAAUGGCAUGUGCACAGAUUUCCUAUUGCAUGGACCUGAUGGUCAUCCUUAGUUCAUAACCCAACCUCCCACCAUGGAUCCUCUAUGUAUUAGUCAGUCUGGUGUCAAGACCACUGUGCUCUUCCCAGAGCCAGCUUGUCAUCUUGCCUUGAUUCAAACAUGCUUUUUGGAAGAGAGCCUUUUUACAGCAGAAGACAUUUGCUCCAUUUCCUCCAUCUACUUGGCUCUUUCCAAAGCCUCCUAUGAAACCAGUCCUCCUUGAAGGAUCUGUUUCCAGGAUAGGAAUCUGAAAGCAAUCACUGCUGAGAAAACAUACCCAAAGCCAGCUUCCACUGUGCAGACGAGUGGUGUAAGGAAACCUGGGAAGCCAUUCACAAAGAAGGAAUAAAAGGUGUGACACAUGCAGUGGGGUGGCGCUUGUCAGGCCCAGUGCAGCCACCUGUAGUCUGAAGGUCUGUGGCAGAGCUGAUCUCCCUAUGCUCAGCAGAUGGAAAUUGGAACUUCUAGGUGGUUCCUUUGACAAGUGGACAUAAAAUGGGUCAAGUGAGAAAUGAUCCUCCUCCUCCUCCUCUCUUCUUAAAAAGAGAAUAAUUUGCCACUGGAUUGGAAACAAAUGAGUACCACGUUGUCAGGGCAGGUCUAUCUGAUUCCCAGAUAUGUUCCUUGCAAUUGCUAAUUCUUUUCAUCAUGAAAAUGGCAGAGGUGAAAUAACAAGUAUUCACAGAGCUCAUUUAACGGAGUGAUUUCCAUUCAUUUCUCAUAGAAAUGGGCUCAAGACACUGUCCGAACUGCACUGAGGUGAGCCGAGAAGGAACUGAAAAAUAGUGGUCUGGAUUCAUUCCUCUUCUAUUUAGAAGUUCAGCUUGGCGUGCUUGCAGUAUGUAUGCUACACGAUAUGGAAGUACUUACCCCAAAGAAAUGAGGAAUGUAGAGUCUUCAUCCUGGGAAAGAUCUGGUAGAGGUGUGUACAACUGUCCCUCAG
ensembl:lncRNA